rnacentral:rRNA from 1 species
AUGGCUACAGCAACAAAUAAUUUCAAUGAUUCAGCUGAAAUUGGUCAAGGAGGUUAUGGGAAAAUCCAUAAAGGAAAUCUAGAUGAUGGAGCAACCGUUGCAAUCAAACGAGCACAGGAAGAUUCUCUGCAAGGCUCAAAUGAAUUUUGCACAGAAAUAGGAUUGCUCCGGUUCCGGAUGUGGAAGGAACAUUGCCAGCUCAUAUCUCCACUGUUGUUGAGGGUACUCCAGUAA